AUUGAACGCUGGCGGCAGGCCUAACACAUGCAAGUCGAGCGGAUGAAGGGAGCUUGCUCCUGGCUUCAGCGGCGGACGGGUGAGUAAUGCCUAGGAAUCUGCCUGGUAGUGGGGGAUAACGUCCGGAAAUGGGCGCUAAUACCGCAUACGUCCUGAGGGAGAAAGUGGGGGAUCUUCGGACCUCACGCUAUCAGAUGAGCCUAGGUCGGAUUAGCUAGUUGGUGGGGUAAAGGCCUACCAAGGCGACGAUCCGUAACUGGUCUGAGAGGAUGAUCAGUCACACUAGAACUGAAACACGGUCCAGACUCAUACGGGAGGCAGCAGUGGGGAAUAUUGGAAAGUGGGCGAAAGCCUGAUCCAGCCAUGCCGCGUGAGUGAAGAAGGUCUUCGGAUUGUGAAGCACUUUAAGUUGGGAGGAAGGGCAGUAAGUUAAUCCCUUGCUGUUUUGACGGUACCAACAGAAUAAGCACCGGCUAACUUCGUG
rnacentral:rRNA from 1 species